UGUUACUUGAUGUGAUUCACCCGCGCCCAUGAACUAAACCCCCAUUACUUGACGGAGAAAACGAAGAAAAGACGGAAAAAACGAAAAAAAGAACCAGUGAACUUUGAGUUCGUAGGAGUUUCUCUCUGAACAGUAGAACGGUGAACUGAUUACAAGGGGUUCUUUGUUUGCCGAAAAUUGAGCACUAUUUGGCUAAUGAAUGAAUUCUGAUCUCCAUUCAGUUAAGCACUAAAAAAGGGAUUUUGGUGCAUGGCCAUUGCACUGUCGAAGUAUCAGUAAAAAGGAAGAGGGUUUAUUUUCUUUUUUUUUUUUUCGAUCCUGGACAGUUCACAACUGAAACUGACCACUUCGUGAGCUGGACUCGAAAAAUAAUUGAAGGAGAACAGGUUAUUAGAAGUACAACUGACGCUGAUAGAGACGUUCGAGAUGAUGAUGACAGUAAUAGUGAUCACAGUGACUAUUUAAGUGUUUGUGAACGCGAUGAUCUCGUCUAACAUAUAGUGAAAGUUAAUAUUAAACCCUACUGUUUUAUCUGAUGUUUUUCCUAUUUUAUUUUAGAUUUGAUUGGAAGGAAUAUUAUUAGGCAAUUCAGACUUUGACUGAACAUAUGCAGGUUAACUUAAGUGAUCGACAAUAAGAUACAGAACAGUCAAUUAUAUAGUUUGCAUUACCUUAAAUUCUCCAAUUAAAUUUUAUUUGC